rnacentral:rRNA from 1 species
ACACAUGCAAGUCGAACGGAAAGGCCCUGCUUUUGUGGGGUGCUCGAGUGGCGAACGGGUGAGUAACACGUGAGUAACCUGCCCUUGACUUUGGGAUAACUUCAGGAAACUGGGGCUAAUACCGGAUAGGAGCUCCUGCUGCAUGGUGGGGGUUGGAAAGUUUCGGCGGUUGGGGAUGGACUCGCGGCUUAUCAGCUUGUUGGUGGGGUAGUGGCUUACCAAGGCUUUGACGGGUAGCCGGCCUGAGAGGGUGACCGGCCACAUUGGGACUGAGAUACGGCCCAGACUCCUACGGGAGGCAGCAGUGGGGAAUAUUGCACAAUGGGCGGAAGCCUGAUGCAGCAACGCCGCGUGCGGGAUGACGGCCUUCGGGUUGUAAACCGCUUUCGCCUGUGACGAAGCGUGAGUGACGGUAAUGGGUAAAGAAGCACCGGCUAACUACGUGCCAGCAGCCGCGGUGAUACGUAGGGUGCGAGCGUUGUCCGGAUUUAUUGGGCGUAAAGGGCUCGUAGGUGGUUGAUCGCGUCGGAAGUGUAAUCUUGGGGCUUAACCCUGAGCGUGCUUUCGAUACGGGUUGACUUGAGGAAGGUAGGGGAGAAUGGAAUUCCUGGUGGAGCGGUGGAAUGCGCAGAUAUCAGGAGGAACACCAGUGGCGAAGGCGGUUCUCUGGGCCUUUCCUGACGCUGAGGAGCGAAAGCGUGGGGAGCGAACAGGCUUAGAUACCCUGGUAGUCCACGCUGUAAACGGUGGGUACUAGGUGUGGGGUCCAUUCCACGGGUUCCAUGCCGUAGCUAACGCUUUAAGUACCCCGCCUGGGGAGUACGGCCGCAAGGCUAAAACUCAAAGGAAUUGACGGGGCCCCGCACAAGCGGCGGAGCAUGCGGAUUAAUUCGAUGCAACGCGUAGAACCUUACCUGGGUUUGACAUGGAUCGGGAGUGCUCAGAGAUGGGUGUGCCUCUUUUGGGGUCGGUUCACAGGUGGUGCAUGGCUGUCGUCAGCUCGUGUCGUGAGAUGUUGGGUUAAGUCCCGCAACGAGCGCAACCCUUGUUCACUGUUGCCAGCACGUUAUGGUGGGGACUCAGUGGAGACCGCCGGGGUCAACUCGGAGGAAGGUGGGGAUGACGUCAAGUCAUCAUGCCCCUUAUGUCCAGGGCUUCACGCAUGCUACAAUGGCUGGUACAGAGAGUGGCGAGCCUGUGAGGGUGAGCGAAUCUCGGAAAGCCGGUCUCAGUUCGGAUUGGGGUCUGCAACUCGACCUCAUGAAGUCGGAGUCGCUAGUAAUCGCAGAUCAGCAACGCUGCGGUGAAUACGUUCCCGGGGCUUGUACACACCGCCCGUCAAGUCAUGAAAGUUGGUAACACCCGAAGCCGGUGGCCUAACCGUUGUGGGGGAGCCGUCGAAGGUGGGACUGGUGAUUAGCACUA